GACGAACGCUGGCGGCGUGCUUAACACAUGCAAGUCGAACGCUGAAGCUUGGUGCUUGCUCUGGGUGGAUGAGUGGCGAACGGGUGAGUAAUACGUGAGUAACCUGCCCUUGACUCUGGGAUAAGCCUGGGAAACUGGGUCUAAUACUGGAUACGACAUGUCACCGCAUGGUGGUGUGUGGAAAGGGUUUUACUGGUUUUGGAUGGGCUCACGGCCUAUCAGCUUGUUGGUGGGGUAAUGGCUCACCAAGGCGACGACGGGUAGCCGGCCUGAGAGGGUGACCGGCCACACUGGGACUGAGACAGGGCCCAGACUCCUACGGGAGGCAGCAGUGGGGAAUAUUGCACAAUGGGCGAAAGCCUGAUGCAGCGACGCCGCGUGAGGGAUGACGGCCUUCGGGUUGUAAACCUCUUUCAGCACGGAAGAAGCGAAAGUGACGGUACGUGCAGAAGAAGCGCCGGCUAACUACGUG
rnacentral:rRNA from 1 species